rnacentral:rRNA from 1 species
AUGGGUCCGUUUAUUGGACAUCUGCAAGCGGAAGGGGAUCUCCAUGUGCUGAAGCUGAACACUGCAACACUGCAGUUCUCCGAGAUCGGUCUGCCACAGGCUUACAAUUUCAAGGUUGGUGAGACCAGCGAUGGGAAGCUCUGCGUGGCCCAGCUAGUUGAUCUCACGCUUGAAGUUUGUGUCCGGAGAGCUGACGACGUCGGUGUCGACCAAUGGAUGCCGGACACGACAUUUCCGAUGCUGGAUGCGAUUGGUAAGCUUGAGCUGCAGACCGUAGAUGAGCGCCCUAUAGAUGUUGUGGCUAUCAUCAGUGGCACUGUGUAUUUGUCUUUCAACCAACGAAUGUUUGCUAGAAGAGAUUUUACCUGGCUGCUAUCCUUCUGCAUUGAAACAGAGGAGCUGAAGAAGGUCUGCCCGAUCACUUACUGUACUAAUGAAUCUUACUACCCCUACGUCAUGGCCUGGCCUCCUGUUCUGGACUUCUGGUAG